rnacentral:rRNA from 1 species
CUAAAAACCUAGCCUAACACUUACCCACACACUAAUUCAUAAACCAAAAUAUUUUAACAAUUCAGUAAAGAAGAUAGAAAAAUUUAUUAGAGCCAUAAACAUGUACCGCAAGGGAAACGUGAAAUAAUAAUGAAAUACUUUUAAAGUACAAAAAAGUAGAGUUAAAUCCUC